AUGGCUUGUCCGUAUUUGCAAUGAUUCAGUAUCCGGCACUGCUCAUCCCAUUUCUAAAAAUGGUAUUGGAGAGUUACAGGGUAUUCAGAGGCGAAGGGAAUGACUGAAGAAUGCGGGGAAACACCUCUUCAUUUUGAGGCAAGGACUGGGUCUGCAGGUCAUCGUAGAGACUGCUGCAGAUCACUGCUUCUGUGUGCUUCUCCACUGCCUAAGGGACAUUCACCAAGACCAAAUCCAAGUAGUCUCUGCUGUCUGAGGUUCAUCUGCCCCAUUCCAAGGUUAAUUCAGGACUACAACAAUCCUUUCUCAGUGGUGUUCCUCUUAUAACUACCUACUAUGGCAUGGAGACACCCUUACAUGGAGGAGGAGUGAUGAGGUGAGUGUGAUGCCAUGAGAACUACCCUCACUGCAUCCCUGUCUGUGCCUUCCCUACCAAGACCAGUCCACUGUGGGGGAAUCCCUACAGCCUCUCCACAGCCCUGUUCGGAGGCAUUUAUCUUUGUCCCAAAGUUAUCCUCUGGGUAACUUCACCAUCAAGGCCUUUUCAUUAUUAGCAGGCUCCUUUGAUUCACCAGCAUCAUAGAAUCAUAGAAUGACUUGGGUUGAAAAGGACCACAAUGAUCAUCAAGUUUCAACCCCCCUGCUAUGUGCAGGGUCACCAACCACCAGACCAGGCUGCCCAGAGCCACAUCCAGUCUGGCCUUGAAUGCCUCCAGAUGGGGCAUACACAGCCUCCUUGGGCAACCUGUUCCAAUGCUUCACAACCUUCUGAGUGAUCAUCUAAAGCACAGUCAUUAGUUAGAAAAGACCCCUAAAAUUGUGUAGUCCAACUGCCAAUGCCCACCGAACCAUGCCCCUCAGCGCCACAUCUCCACAUUUACUGAACACCUCCAGGGACAGUGACUCCACCACCCACCACCACCACUCCCAAAUCGUCUCCCAUUUCUGACCCUUCUCUAUCCUGAUGUGGGAGUAAGGGAGCCAAGACACAGCCUGCCCUUUGGCAUUUCCCUGCAGAAGGCUUCCCCUGCCCUGCCAGGCAGCGGCCACGGAGCAGAGCACUGCUUCCCACACCUCCCUGUCUUCUUCUUACUCUUCGUUUCUUCUUCUUUUUUUUUUUUUCUUUUUCUUUUUUUUUUUUCCCUGUCGUUGCUUUAAAGGGAGCACCCCAUCCACCCGGCUGCUGCUGCUCUAAGGACGUACAGCCCUACGCUGCCCGGAGAAAAAAAAAAAAAA
rnacentral:lncRNA from 1 species